GACGAACGCUGGCGGCGUGCCUAAUACAUGCAAGUCGAGCGCUAAAGGAUGGUACUUGUACCAACUGGAGGAGCAGCGAACGGGUGAGUGACGCGUGGGGAAGCUGCCUUUGAGCGGUGGGCGACAAUUUGAAACGAAUGCUAAUACCACAUAAAAACUUUAAACACAAGAAUCAAGUUUGAAAGAUACAAUUGCAUCACUCAAAGAUGAUCCCGCGUUGUAUUAGCUAGUUGGUGAGGUAAAGGCUCACCAAGGCGGUGAUACAUAGCCGACCUGGGUGGGUGAUCGGCCCCAUUGGGACUGGGGCACGGCCCAAGCUCCUACCGGGAGCAACCAUAGGGGAUCAUUGGCCAUGGACGGCAGUCUGGCCCCAGACCGCCGCGUGAGUGGAGGAAGUUUUCGGAUCGUUAAACUCUGUUGGUAGGGAAGGACGUUGGUGAGAGUGGAACGCUGAUCUAGUGACGGUAACUAACCAGUAAGCACCGGCUAACUUCGUG
rnacentral:rRNA from 1 species